UACGUAGGGGGCAAGCGUUGUCCGGAUUUAUUGGGCGUAAAGAGCGUGUAGGCGGCCAGGUAGGUCAGCUGUGAAAACUCGAGGCUCAACCUCGAGACGCCGGUUGAAACCAUCUGGCUAGAGUCCGGAAGAGGAGAGUGGAAUUCCUGGUGUAGCGGUGAAAUGCGCAGAUAUCAGGAAGAACACCCGUGGCGAAGGCGGCUCUCUGGGACGGUACUGACGCUGAGACGCGAAAGCGUGGGGAGCAAACAGG
rnacentral:rRNA from 1 species